CAACCCUCAGGCCCCUCCGGGCGGCCUGGUGUUGGGGACCGGCGGACGGGGGGAGAGGGCCCUGCCUUCCCCCCGCCGAGCCCGCCGCCCCCGAAAUGAAUUGGCGGUCUCGUCGCGGCCUCCUCUGCGUAGUAGCACAACCUCGCAACAGGAGCGCGGCGCGGCCACUGCCGUAAAACGCACCAACUUUUAAG
rnacentral:misc_RNA from 1 species